rnacentral:tmRNA from 1 species
CUCACACCAUGACACCAUGCUGUCUGUGGAGUGGCUCGAAGUCGCAAGAUGGAGAUGAGUGAGGUAACAAACACAGAAUCGUGUCGUGCAGGGUUACUUUGUACGAAGCUAAACUCAAGGUAACUAGUCCCGUACCAGCCCGCCAGUUGGCGUGUCCGGGAUUAAAUUAAAUAGCAUGGCUAAGUAUGUAGAACUGCCUGUAGAGUGCUUGCGGACGGGGGUUCAAUUCCCCCCGCCUCCACCA